AGAGUUCGAUUAUGGCUCAGGAUGAACGCUGGCGGCGUGCUUAACACAUGCAAGUCGAGCGAAGCGGCUGAAUUGAUUCUUCGGAUGAUUUUCAGUUGACUGAGCGGCGGACGGGUGAGUAACGCGUGGGUGACCUGCCCCAUACCGGGGGAUAACAGCUGGAAACGGCUGCUAAUACCGCAUAAGCGCACAGAGCUGCAUGGCUCGGUGUGAAAAACUCCGGUGGUAUGGGAUGGGCCCGCGUCUGAUUAGGCAGUUGGCGGGGUAACGGCCCACCAAACCGACGAUCAGUAGCCGGCCUGAGAGGGCGACCGGCCACAUUGGGACUGAGACACGGCCCAA
rnacentral:rRNA from 1 species